rnacentral:rRNA from 1 species
UGGGGAAUAUUGCACAAUGGGCGCAAGCCUGAUGCAGCCAUGCCGCGUGUGUGAAGAAGGCCUUCGGGUUGUAAAGCACUUUCAGCGAGGAGGAAGGUGGUGAGCUUAAUACGCUCAUCAAUUGACGUUACUCGCAGAAGAAGCACCGGCUAACUCCGUGCCAGCAGCCGCGGUAAUACGGAGGGUGCAAGCGUUAAUCGGAAUUACUGGGCGUAAAGCGCACGCAGGCGGUUUGUUAAGUCAGAUGUGAAAUCCCCGGGCUCAACCUGGGAACUGCAUUUGAAACUGGCAAGCUAGAGUCUCGUAGAGGGGGGUAGAAUUCCAGGUGUAGCGGUGAAAUGCGUAGAGAUCUGGAGGAAUACCGGUGGCGAAGGCGGCCCCCCUGGACGAAGACUGACGCUCAGGUGCGAAAGCGUGGGGCAGCAAACAGGAUUAGAUACCCUGGUAGUCCACGCUGUAAACGAUGUCGAUUUUGGAGGUUGUGCCCUUGAGGCGUGGCUUCCGGAGCUAACGCGUUAAAUCGACCGCCUGGGGAGUACGGCCGCAAGGUUAAAACUC